rnacentral:rRNA from 1 species
CCUACGGGAGGCAGCAGUGAGGAAUAUUGGUCAAUGGGCGCAAGCCUGAACCAGCCAAGUCGCGUGAGGGAUGACGGUCCUAUGGAUUGUAAACCUCUUUUGUCGGGGAGCAAGGCCCGCCACGUGUGGCGGGAAGGAGAGUACCCGAAGAAAAAGCAUCGGCUAACUCCGUGCCAGCAGCCGCGGUAAUCCGGGGGAUGCGAGCGUGAUCCGGAUUUAUUGGGUUUAAAUGGUGCGUAGGCGGAAGGUUAAGUCAGCGGUAAAAUGUCGGUGCUCAACACCGGCCUGCCGUUGAAACUGGUCUUCUUGAGUGAGCGAGAAGUAUGCGGAAUGCGUGGUGUAGCGGUGAAAUGCAUAGAUAUCACGCAGAACUCCGAUUGCGAAGGCAGCAUACCGGCGCUCAACUGACGCUGAGGCACGAAAGCGUGGGGAUCGAACAGGAUUAGAUACCCGAGUAGUC